UGGCGCAGCGGAAGCGUGCUGGGC
rnacentral:piRNA from 6 species